ACGGGAGGCAGCAGCUAAGAAUAUUCCACAAUGGACGAAAGUCUGACGGAGCGACGCCGCGUGGAUGAUGAAGGUCGGAAGAUUGUAAAAUCCUUUUAUGACUGAGGAAUAAGUGAAGUGAGAGAAACGCUUCAUGGUGACUGUAGGUCAUGAAUAAGCAACGGCUAAUUACGUGCCAGCAGCCGCGGUAACACAUAAGUUGCGAGCGUUGUUCGGAAUUAUUGGGCGUAAAGGGCAUGUAGGCGGUUUUGCAAGCUUGGUGUGAAAUCCCGGAGCUCAACUCCGGAAUUGCGUUGAGAACUGCAUAACUAGAGUCACUGAGGGGCAAUCAGAAUUCCAGGUGUAGGGGUGAAAUCUGUAGAUAUCUGGAAGAAUACCAAUGGCGAAGGCAGGUUACCAGCAGAUGACUGACGCUGAGGUGCGAAGGUGCGGGGAGCAAACAGGAUUAGAUACCCUGGUA
rnacentral:rRNA from 1 species